UACGAAGGUGGCAAGCGUUACUCGGAAUUACUAGGCGUAAAGCGCAGGUAGGCGGUUCGAUAAGUCUUUUGUGAAAGCUCCCGGCUUAACUGGGAGAGGUCAAGAGAAACUGUCGAGCUAGAGUGUGGUAGAGGAAACUGGAAUUCCCGGUGUAGCGGUGAAAUGCGUAGAUAUCGUAAGGAAGACCAGUGGCGAAGGCGAGUCUCUGGACAGCAACUGACGCUGAGGCACGAAGGCCAGGGGAGCAAACGGG
rnacentral:rRNA from 1 species